rnacentral:rRNA from 1 species
AGUCCACAUCGACGGGGAGGUUUGGCACCUCGAUGUCGGCUCAUCACAUCCUGGGGCUGUAGUAGGUCCCAAGGGUUGGGCUGUUCGCCCAUUAAAGUGGUACGCGAGCUGGGUUCAGAACGUCGUGAGACAGUUCGGUCCCUAUCCGUCGCAGGCGUAGGAAAUUUGAGAAGACCUGUCCUUAGUACGAGAGGACCGGGAUGGACGUACCUCUGGUGUACCAGUUGUUCUGCCAAGGGCAUGGCUGGGUAGCUAUGUACGGAAUGGAUAAGCGCUGAAAGCAUCUAAGCGCGAAGCCAACUUCAAGAUAAGAUUUCCCACCGAAAGGGUAAGACCCCAGAAAGACUAUCUGGUUGAUAGGUCGAAGGUGUAAGUGCAGCAAUGUAUUUAGCUUAUCGAUACUAAUAGGUCGAGGACUUGACCAAU